ensembl:lncRNA
CGGCACAGCGGCGCUGCGGAACCGAAGCAUUUUCCCGGGGCCGGCCGGCCGGACAGACGCACAGGCGGACAGACAGGCGGACAGACGGCCGGACACACAGAGCGGCGGAGGCGGCGUCGGGGCCGAGCCGGAGGAUGCGGAGGGGGCGGGAGAUGUGCGGGGAACGGACGGACUGCGGGAGAGGCGGUGCGUGGGGACAUUUGGCACGGGGUGCCGUGGUGACAUUCGGCACUGCUGCCGUGUGCCAGCGGAGUGUUCUCAUGGUGACAUCCCAGUGUUCUCACGGUGACAUCCCGGUGUUCUCAUGGUGAUACUCUGGUGUUCCCAUGGUGAUAUUCUGGUGCUGCCACGGUGCCGUCCUGGUGCUGCCAUGUGCCAGCACGGUGUUCCCAUGGUGACAUUCUGAUGCUGCCACGGUGACAUUGCUAUGCUGUUGGCCAUGAUGACAUCCUGGUGCUGCCAUGGUGAGAUCCUGGUGUUCCCAUGGUGACAUCCUGGUGCUGCCAUGUGGCAUCCCGGUAUUCUCUUGGUGACAUCCUGGCGUUCCCAUGGUGAUACUUUGGUGUUCCCAUGGUGACAUUCUGGUGCUGCCAUGGUGACAUUGCUGUGUUGUUGGCCAUGGUGCCAUCCCACUGCUGCCAUGGUGACAUCCCAGUGUUCCCCUGGUGACAUUCUGGUGCUGCCAUGGUCCAUGGUGCCAUCUUGGUGCUGCCAUGGUGACAUCCCAGUGCUGCCAUGUGGCAUGCUGGUGUUCCCAUGGUGCCAUCCUGGUGCUGCCAUGUGGCAUCCUGGUGUUCCCAUGGUGACAUUCUGGUGUUGUCAUGGUGCCAUCCCAGUGCUGCCCUGGUGACACCACAGUGCUGCCAUGGUGACAUCCUGGUAUUUCUACGGUGCCAUCCCAGUGCUGCUACGGUGACAUUGUGAUGUUCCCGUGCUGAUAUUCUGGUGAUCCCGUGGUGACAUGCUGGUACUGCUAUGGUGACAUUCUGGUGUUGUCACGGUGACAUCCCAGUGCUCCCAUGGUGACAUUCAGACACAGUCCCAUGGUGCCAUCCUGGUGCUGCCAUGGUGACAUUGCUGUGCUGUUGGCCAUGGUGCCAUCCCACUGCUGCCAAGGUGACAUUCUGGUGGUCCCAAAACUGUUCCCAUGGUGACAUUCUGGUACCACCAUGGUCCAUGGUGAUGUUAUGGUGCUGCCAUGGUGACAUUCUGGUGCUGCCAUGGUGAGCUCCCAGUGCUGCCAGUCUGAGCUCCCGGUGUCCCGGUGGUGCCACACUGUUCUCCCCCCAUGGGACACAGUGAGGGGGUUUUGAUCCCAAAGACGCAGGGUGGUGAAUGAAGCACACGGAGCUGGGGGUGCUGCCUGCGAGGGGACGGUGAUGGUGGGGUGGCUUUGUGGGGUCACCAAUGGCACUGCGGGGUCACCGAUGGCACUAUGGGGUCACCCUGUGGAGUCACCAAUGGCACUGUGGGUUCACUGAUAGCACUGUGGGGUCAACAAUGGCACUGCAGGGUCACCGAUGGCACUAUGGGGUCAACAAUGGCAAUGCAGGGUCAACAAUGGCACUAUGGGGUCAACAAUGGCACUGCGGGGUCACUGAUGGCACUGUGGGGUCACCAAUGGCACUGUGGGUUCACUGAUAGCACUGUGGGGUCAACAAUGGCACUGUGGGUUCACUGAUAGCACUGUGGGGUCAACAAUGGCACUGUGGGUUCACUGAUAGCACUGUGGGGUCAACAAUGGCACUGCAGGGUCACUGAUGGCACUGUAGGGUCACCG